ACUUACGGCCAUACCAACCUGGCUAUGACCGAUCUCGUUUGAUCUCGGAAGCUAAGCAGGUUUGGGCCUGGUUAGUACUUGGAUGGGAGACCGCCUGGGAAUACCAGGUGCUGUAAGCU
rnacentral:rRNA from 1 species